GAGAGCCGGAUGCAGUGAAAGCUGCACGUCCGGUUCGGGAGGGCGGGCCGAAGAAACGGACCGGAC
rnacentral:ncRNA from 1 species